rnacentral:rRNA from 1 species
CUACAAGGGUAUCUAAUCCUGUUCGCUCCCCAUGCUUUCGCUUCUCAGCGUCAGUAAUGGCCCAGAGACCUGCCUUCGCCAUCGGUGUUCCUCCUGAUAUCUGCGCAUUCCACCGCUACACCAGGAAUUCCAGUCUCCCCUACCAUACUCUAGUCUGCCCGUACCCACUGCACGUCCAGGGUUAAGCCCUAGAUUUUCACAGCAGACGCGACAAACCGCCUACAAGCUCUUUACGCCCAAUAAUUCCGGACAACGCUCGCACCCUACGUAUUACCGCGGCUGCUGGCAC